CCACACCGAGCGCCGUCUCCGCUUCUCCUAUACCGAGCGGCCGCAAUCCCCCUCCAGAUCCAGCCCUCCGCCGGCGCCGUCCAUCCAUCAGCCUCGCCCUUCUCCUCCGCGCCGUCAUUCGCUGUCGAGGCCGCCGCCUUCCCCAAUCCUAGACCUAUUGGCCCGGAUAGGGGAUCUCGCCGCCAUCGUCGUAUCUCGCCGUCGCCGCAACCUACAAGUAAAUACCCCCAUCCACCAUCCUUUCCCAUAUGUGUUGUCCUUGUAUGUUUAUAAGUUGGUUGAUUUUUCUCAUGUUGCACAGGCCACGGAAUCUGAAAUUAUUUGUAUACAUGUGCAUUCUCAUGCUGUUGGAGAUGCAUGUGUGUGGCGGCGGCUGCCUGUGGGUGGCACAUGCAUGUGGCGUCGUGGUCAGUAGAGCGUCAACCCCCGCGGAGGCUAUGAGUGGCGUAGGUGUGCGGCGCGGCGGCGAGUGGAGGCGCAGGUGGCUCAAGGCCAAAAGCGAGUACUAUUACUGCAUAUACAUGUUUUGGAGAGCGAUAUGCGUUUAAAAUGCUGCAAUGCGAAACUGUGCCACUUUGCCCACGCCUCUUUCCGCACUGAGUCGAUGCCGGUAGCACAACCGACGAGGUAAAUUUUUUUUUCUUUGCAAACUCCUGUUCUUCCCAACUUCUGGAAGCCUGUUCCUAUUCUAUUUCAGCGAAUAACAAUGAUAUUUCACUAGGAUUAUACUGCAGGGUUAUGCAUGUUACUAGCCAAUCUUAAAUAUAUCAAACUUUAUUGACUGAGCUGAGUGAUUAGGUGUCAAGUUGCAGUUUAUAUAUCAAACAUCGGAUGAGUGAACAAGAAAUUCGACAGGUUGAUAGAUAUAAAUGGGCAAAUGAUCGGGAAGAUUAAGAUUGCAUAUACACAAUGAUUUUCACUUCAUUUUUGCUUCUAUUCUGCAAACCAUGGAUAUGCUCUCUGUUUUGGUAAUCGUCCAAUAACUAGCAAUAACAUGCUCUGAAUUGUGAUGAUUGUGAACUAAUCCUAGCGACCAACUUGAUGAUGUUAUAGUCAGGAUUGUAAUUACUGUUUCUAGGGUUCUACAUAAAUUGGCUUGCUAGGGUUGGAUGAAUAAUGAAUGAAUGAAUGCUGAUGCAAGUGCAGUACUGGAACUAGAAAAGCUAAUAUAAAUCAUACUAACAUAAUUAAGUCCUUGUAUAUGCUUGCAUGAUGAAAUAACUGAAUUUGGCACAUCAGCAGGAUCAUAUUCUAAAAUAAAUCAUAUUGAAUGAUGCAGUAAUUUACAUGGUUCUAUACUUUGAAAAUCAUGCCAAGAUAUGAACUAUAGAGAAUGGAAUUAUAACCCCAUGAAACCUGACCUUGAAUACAGAUAAUUUACUGCUACUGACUGUAUAUUGUGACUAAACUAUAGAGUUGUUGAUGCUGGAAAAAACUAAACUAUUGAUUAACUAACUAUUUUUACAGUAAAUGAUUUGGUAGAAAAAAACUUAUAUGUUCUGUUAAGUUAUUAAAAUUUAGUAGAACUAUGACUAUUUAUCACUAUGCAUACUUAGAUGUACUUAAAAUUCAUCCUAUGGUUUCUUUUCUGAGUUUUGUAGUAAAGAACUAGAUACAUAUACAAACUUAACCCAGAUUCAUAACCUACUGGUUUCACAUGCUAUUCUACAAUUCAAAUGAUUAAUAAUUUAGGAUGGUUCCUCUAUUAAAUCUGGGUUGAUUUUCAAUAUUUUUAAAUGAAAUUAGAUUCAUAUACACAUACCCUAACCUUCCAAGAAUAUGCACAGCUCAGAUUUUACUUUGUUUGUAUGACCAAAAUCUGAAAGUUCUAUAUUUUUUUAAGUGCACAUGCAUUUGUAUAAAAUUCAUGUUUUUCUUUACUAAUUUUCCGUUCCUGGUUAUAUAUGCAGUUACAUUGUGAGUUUUUGACUGUGUACAUGGGCAUAGGUAGCUUACUUUUUGACUGUAUCUCCUUGUGGAUACAGUUUCUUUUUUUAGAUCAAUUUGGAAUCCCUCUGAUUAAUUUAUAUUUUCAGAAAAGAAGUUUCAGUAUAAACCUAAGAUAAACUUGAGAAUCUUCAGUUUCUCAAGUUCUGCUGACAGUUCCUUACAACUGAUUGGUUCUGCUUGAUUUCAGUUUUCAUCCUAGCAAUUGCAGUUUAGCAUUUCUUGUAAUCAUGUAGUUUCUGUCCAGUUUCCAGUGGAACAUUAGGUACCGAAUUACCACUUGAGUGGUGAUCAUCUGAACUAAAAGCCAGCAUUUGAGUUCAUGCUAUUAGCCUAAAAUUACAGAAAUUUUGUUUCGGUCAUUAUUUUGAUAUGAGUUUUCCCUGCUCAUGCUAAACUCACUUCUACCAAACUAUUUGAUGUUUCUAGCAAGAGAGUCAAAUCAGUGAUGUUUUCAAUUUUAGAAUCAAGAAACAUGAAUAUUGAUAUAUGCAUGCAGGUCUUCAGCGAGUGUCAAGUGUUGUGUGAUGAUAUAGUAGGGGACAUGCACUGUGAGUAGUAUUUAUAUAGAGCACAUUUGAUCAUUGAUUUGCUCCAUGUGAAAGGAGCUUCAGAAUUCAGAUUAGAUCAGGGAUCAAUAUGUUUUGCUGAACUUUCUAUGUUAUUUGAUUGCAAAUUUCAGUUUGUCAAACCACUUUGUCAUGUUUUUUCCAUGCUGCACAUGCAUUUGCUAAUAACUAUGGAGUAGUAUUUUUAAUAUAACUGAUCACUGAUUAUAGAUGUUCAUCUAAUUUAUUUUAUACCACAGUAUGCUUUGUUUUUUCCCUUGCAUCUUCAAUUUUGCAAACUCCAACUCGUGAUAGGUUACUAACCUGCAGACCUCAGCUAAAAAUAAAUGUUCUGAAUAUUCAGGUAGCUUAAAUGGGAGAUCUAAAUAAUUUAUAUGAUUUGCGUUUUCCUGUGCAUAACGUCAUUAGUAAGGUUUGUGAUCUUUCAUAGUGAUGGGAAUAUAGUAAACCUGCAUAUAAUGUAGAGCUUUUCCUGUAACAAUUACUGUACAAAGCAAAUACUGCUUUAUGUUAGAUAAAUAAAUAGCCCUUGCUUUCUCCAUUUAUAUUAUACUGAACCUUUGUUGCUCUUGCGUGUGUUUCUUUUUUUGGAAGAACGGCUCUUUGUGGAUGUUUUGUUCAAAAGCAGAAGUACUUGCCACCCCUACCUUGCUUAUGUUGGUUGAUAAGUAUGUUGAAUUCAAGUUUUAAUGAAAAUUUGUAUCUUGUUAUUGUUUAAAUAGUUGGUGAUUAAACUGUCCUAAUUUCUUUAUUCAUUUUCCUUUUAUUUUGGAUAUGGAUAUAUUUUUUUUACCUGCAACCUCUUUUCUGGAAUUAUAUAGAAAACAACUCUUUUCUUCUCUUUCAAAAGUAUUUAGGACGUAACACAACUGAGAAUCUCCAGUUUUUCAGGAUAAAAUUGGCAAGUAGUCCUUUUGGCAAAGACUAUAGUAAUCAGGAGGUAAGAAUUUGUUCAUAUAUUUCCCUGACUACUUUCUUGUUUUAUUUUACUUAUUAUUAUUUGAAACCAAGUGACAUCCCAUAUAAAUGAUAAAUUUAGCUAUUAGAACUGAUUUUAUCAUAUUUUCUUGUGCACUUUAAUCAAAGUAAAAUUUCUGAACACCAUAAGUUGCUAACUGUGCUUUGGAAGACUAAAAGCAUAGUAUUUGACGCUCUAAUCCUGUGUCCUCCAACUGACACCAAAUCUUUUCUUGCAGGUCAUAAAUCUAGGUUCACUAAACCCAAAGGCUUCUAUAGCACUGGGAUGCCUGGUGCUAGUGGUUAUUUGGGCAGCUAUGGGGGUGAUGGUGGGUAUGGCAUUACUCCACCGGGAGGCCAGGAAGAAAAUGAUUCAUGGUCAUUAGAUAAGAUCUAGUAGGUGAUUGUGUCCCAACAUCCCAUUAUAUCAUACCAUGCCAUCUUGUGCUAUUUUCUUUAAUCCUAGAAUUUAUUUUGCCAAAAUUCAUGAGGAUAUUGCUGGAUCAAUAGAAACAAUUGGCUGUAAGAGUGAAUGAUGGUUUGAUUCCUUAAAUACUUUUAAUAUACAUGCGUUGCACCAAUUUCGGUUGUGGAAUAUUUUUGUUACAGG
rnacentral:lncRNA from 1 species